AGCCACGCAAUGAGCACAAAGCAAACUAUUAUUUCACCUUUUACUAGAGAAUACCGUGUGCUCGUUGCAAAUAGUGGCAUAAACCUAUUUUUGGAGGGGUUCUUCCCAAUUGGGAUGGU